UUUCCCCGGCGGCGGCAGCUGCGCCUCCGAAGCCCCGGGCCCCGGCGGCCCCCACCCCUCGCUCGCGCGCUCCCACACUGCGCCCCCCUCCCCGGGGGAAGGCCUCUUAAUUUAUUUAUUCUGCCGGGACUGGCUGGGGUGGGGGGCUCGGCCGGCGGGGGCGGGGGGCUCCCCGGGCUCUACCUCCCCGUGGCCGGUGGCCCUCGGAGGGAGCCCGGGCCGCCGCCGCGGCGUGCGCCUCGGGCCUUCCGAACUGUUUGCAAACUGCCAAGACCGGAGGUGGGCGCGUGGAGGCGCGGGGCGCGGGGCGGGGGCCCGGGCUCGGCUUCAGCGGGGGCCGCGAGGGUGUGUUUGGAGACUGGGGGGGGCGGGGGGGGGAGCAGAGCGGACGUCGACCCGAGGCGAGCUGCCAUCGAGGCGUCUGGGCUCCGGCGUCCUUCCCGGCCCCGGCGACCCCCUCCCCGCCCCCCAGCCCCGGGCGCCGAGCCGGGGCGGAGGAACCAGGAUUUAACCACCGUCCGGGGAGGAAGCGGCCGGGCCUGGGCCGAGAGAUACGCGCUGGCUGGCCGGCUUUCUUUUCUUUUUUUCUGUUUUUAUUUUUGGAGGGGAGCGCCUCGUAAUUGUCGUGAACACAUGCUUCUUUCCUCGUCGCCCCCCCCCCUCCGUUCCAUCCAGCCACCAGCAAGCGAGCGAGAGAGGGGAGGUGAGAGAGAGAGAGAGAGGAGAGAGUCCCCCCCCCCCCACUCUUUUGCAUGUGUCUUUUCCUUCCCCCUUUCUUUAUUAAAGGUCCGGGAGUGGCGGCGGCCAAUCGGCGCGCGGCUUCCAUUUUGUGAGCUCGACUCCGAGGCUCCCGGGCUUCCCGAGGGCGCGCUGGCGGCCCGGUCCGCCUCUCCCGGUCGGGCGGCCGAGGGGGAAGAGCCACCUCGGUGGGGCCUGGAGGUGGUGUGUUUCAAAUUGGGGCUCUUUUCGGGGUCUGGAGUUUGGCCUUGGAGCGGUAAACAGCCCUCAGCGAAGCCGCCUUUUUACCACCUCUGGAAAGUUUGCAGACGUGGAAGGAGCAGAAAAAUGCCCCGAGAGUGUAACUUACAGAAAGGUCCCUGGCCUGAGAAGGGACAACUCUGGUGCCCCUGGAAUGGACAGCUGGAACCGACAACCCUCUGAGUAAGGUAGGGGAGAGUCCUUUCCCUCCCCGGCCGGGCCAGUGACUGGGGGGCGGGGUCGGAAUCCCCCAACUGGCCCGGCUGGUUCUGCAGCCCCUCCCCCACGGCCAAGGGCCGCGUGUGAAAUGCGGGGCCCGCUGGGGCCAGCCCGCCCAGCCUGUCAGCCUCUGAUGUCAGGCAUUUGGGGCGUGGAAUUCUCUGCCGAAUUUAGCAGCUUUACUAGACCAGGCACUAGCCAGUCCUUCCAAGUGGCGAGCUUCGCGGUGGGGGGAGGGCCUCGGGGCUGUGCUUGGGCCUGCAGGCCCCCAGUGGGGCCGGGGGACGGGCGAGCUGCCUGGGGAGAAGGAACUGGAGGACCUGAGGGCUGGGCCAUCUCUCCUGGGAAAAGAAAAGAGAGGUUUCCUUGACUUCCCCUACCCCUUCCUAGGGUUCCCUCGGUUUCCUCCUGGCUCCCCCCAAAAUAAGUAGCCUAGCUUCUAGAAUCAGGCGAACCUGGAUGUGAAACCUGGCCAUGGCUGUGUACCAGUUGUGACCUUGCCUGUUUUGCCUUGCCUCUGAACUCGUUUCCUCACCUCUGGGGGGGGGGGGGCGGAUCUGUGACUGUGAAAUCGGAGCAGGCUUGGGAAUGGCGGCUGGAUGGUGACUCCCAGUCCCAAAAUCUGACUCAGGAGAUGGGGUCUAAGAACUCGGCAUUCUCUCCUAAGCCCCCAGGUGACGCCCGGCUUCCAGAUCCUCUGGGCUAGGCAGCACCUGGGGAGUUGCCGGGCUUGCCUGGUACCUGGCAGCUGUCUUCAUAAGGAGAGCGGCCCUCAUUCUUGCCGAGUGAGUGAGCUGGCCUCUCUGUAGCUCACCCUACCUCUGGCAUCCAGGAGGCAGCUGCACGCCACCCAGGCGGCCUGACCCUUGAUCUCUGCCCCCCAGAUCUCUGCCCCCAGGCCGCUGUGCCGCUCCAGUUUGUGGUGGGUUACUUGAGGAGUCUUUGGGCCCAGGUGCCUACCUUAGCUAGGCCUCGGCUUCCCCUCCCUCCUCACACCCACCCUAAACGGCCGAGCUGUGGGAGGCCCCCAGAGACUUUGCUAGAAGCACCUGGCUGCUUAUCUGUGUGAGGCUUUCGGCCUGUCAGCCAAGGAUUGGAAUGUGCCGGUGCUGGCGACCUUGGGCAGUGUCUCCCGGCCAGCGAUCUCUGGGCUGGCCCCGUCUCAGUGGAGUGGUGGGAGGAUUACAUGCGAUUAGGGGGCCGUCCUCCAGAGCUGGCUUCUGACUAGUUGGCCUCCUUUGGGACUCUGGGUGGUGGCUGGGAGUGGCUUGGGGUGGUGGCUGGCUGUCUCCUGGGCGGCUCCUCCACCAGCCCACCUCCCAAAGCAUGUGGCCGAGCUUCUAGCCAAAGGGGAAAGACGACUGACUUUCCUUGGGAAGGCGGCCAGCUCGUUUUUUUCCUCCAGUGUAGCUUGAGUCGGGCAUGUUGUAGAAGGCUAUUUCUCCAUGUAGGGGUCAUGAUUUGGGGUUGUCUGCCCAGGGACUCAAGAGGUGACUCACCCAAGGUCAUCAGGCCACCAUCAGCAGAGCUGGAAUGAGGUUCCAGGUGUCUUCCAGCCCCGAGCCUGGGCCGAUGGCACCCCCCUUGCCCCAGCUGUCUGGGAUAUUUUGAGCGCCCUCCUGUGCCAGCUGUCUACUGGCACCACUGCUCAAGAACUGUCUGGUUGGAAGGAACCAGCGCGGUGCUAUUGGCUCCCUCCAAGAAGGGCCAGCCAGGCACCAUGAGGCCCCUAGAGCUGAUUUGGAUUUAGCGCACCCUCUGCGCCCCAGCCUUGAGCACUGAUUCCCACGGGAGAGGGGAGAGGAGGAGCCAGGCUUGAGAAUUCAAGCAGUUAGAUCCACUGCCCCUUUUUAGAAUGGUGACCUCUUUGCAUAUCCUGGAUCCGCCUCGGGGCUCCGCUUCCCUCGGGUUAGAGUCCUUAGGUGGAAGGUCUUUACCUCCUCCCAGGUAGCUUCUGAUGAUGUGAGACACCGGGUGCGCCCUGGAGAGCCACAGCCGUCCGUUUGGGGAAGGGUAAAGUGUAAGUAUCCGGUACCAACUGACACUGUUCCUCCCUCUCCCUGGGGCCCCAUUUGGGCUUUUGUCGGCUUUCUCUCCACUCCCCGCACCCUUCUAGCACCUGGAGGAGCCGGGCGGUCUCCCGCAGACUUCCCGGGCCGAAGGGAGCUCCGCCCACCAGUCCCCACCGACCUAGGGCGGGGCUGCUCCCGGCCUGCUGCGCCAGGGCCACGCCAGCGGAAGGGCUGGAAGGUAGUUGGCCUGGGACUCCGGUGCCCCGCCCCUUCCGGUCCCUUCCCUUGGAGCCCUGCAGGGACUGUGACCUUUUAGACCCUCCAGAAAACCACAGGACUGGACGGCUAGAGAAUGCUCCCCAGCACUUCAGACACCUCAACCCAGUGCUCUCUCCCGUGCCUUCUGGCAAAUUCCUCUCAGCUGGGAGGAGGAAGGUGAACAACCUUUUGAGCUGUUUUUAAAUUUUAUUUUCAGUAAUUGGAGGCCAGGGUUUCAUGCCUUGUUGCCAAGGCUGGUCUGAAAUUCCAGGAUUCAUACAAUCCCCGAGUGUAGCUGGGAUUCUGUCCUGUUCCCCCCAACCCCCCUGAAAGAGCUGAUAACUGCUGAGGCCUGAGUUUCUCCCUUCCCAGCCUCUCUCCCUGGGGUCCACAGGACAGGCCUAUACUCCCAGGCACCCCAUACUUGGCCAUCUGCAUUUACUGGGCCCUUAGGGAAAAGCUUUGUGAGUAAAGGUUCAGGCUGGGGUCUUUAUCUCCCACCUCCAUCAAUGCCUUAACAUUGGAUGGCUCUGUAAUUGCUUUCUGUGGCCUCAGAAUGCAAUACAUUUGGGGCACUUAGUAUGCUUGCCAGCCUCUCCAUCCUAACCUGGGCUGAUGGGACUUUUUCCUGAAAGGCUGAAGUAGACCAGUCCCUGCUUCUCCACUGGGCUCAGUUUCCUUGUUGGCCUCCCAGAGGCAUAGUCUUCUGUGUGACCCAAAAUUGAUUCGCCCUGUAGAGGCCACCUGACAGUCCUAAGGCAGCCUAAAGAAUCAAUCCAGGUGCCAGUGGUCCAUGCCUAUAAUCCUGCUUGGGGGGCUGAGAUAUGGAGGGUUGACAUUUGAAGCCAGGCUGGGCAAAAAGUUUGUGAGACAUGCCCCCUCAUCUCAAAAAUAAUCACCAGAGCAGAGUGGCUGGAGGUGUGAAUCAAGCAGCUACUGAGCAACUGCAAAACUUUCGCUUCAAACCCCAGUACUUCCACCAAAAAGAAAGAGACUUCCUUGCCCUCCUAAAACUCUCUAGGAAUUCCUGGGAAAUAGGACAGUGACUCAAGUCCUCAGAACAUCAUGGAGGUGAGGGAACAGGCCUCGGGGACAGGGGACCAUCUCCUCAGCUUGCCCGGCCUGGUGUGGCUAGCCUGACUCUCUGAGGAAGCUCUGAGCAACUGGCGGGGCUCCUGAGUAUUUUUAGCUACAGAAUCAGGCCCACCAUCACCACAGGAGCUGGGUCCAAAUCAAACACACUCCAAGCUGGUUGGUGCUGGGGUUCUGCCAGCCUCUUGGCUAGGCAGGGUGAGUGGGUGAGCAGGCUGCCGCCAGUGGCAGCUGUUCUGCCUAGGCCCAGCAGGGCUGGUAAGACUCACUUUGUACAUUUCCUCCCUUCAGCUUUGAGCAGGCCUGCUCUGUGAGGACAUCAUAGCCCAGGUUCUCCAAUGAGGAAAGUGGAGACAGAGCUAAGGAUUUUGAGACAGACAUGAGUCCUCUUCUGGGCAUGCAUGGUAAACCUGAGCCUCCUAAGUGAGGUCCCCCAGGCCUCCUGUCUGUGACAGGGUAGCCUCCCUCUGGAGCCAAGGCCCACCCUGAAGGAAGAAGCAGUUUGGGGCUUGCUGCAAAGGUAAGUGCUCUUCCUCUCACUCCAAAGCCCCCCAAAAUGCCCUCUUUUUGUGGGACUGUGAACCCAUUCAAUUUUGGCUUCCUUUGCUUUGGAGUUGUAGAGAACCUUGUGCCUGACGACUCUGAUCCUGAUACCCUUCUGUCCAGCCAACCCAAGGUGCUUCCAAGAGAUAGUCUGAGCUCUGCUUCCCCCAACAGUCAUGGCUCCUUCCUGGCCACACUGAGAAAGCAGAGUUUAGCUGCAGCAGGACUCCUUUCCUGCCCCCUCUCCCUGCAGCCUGGUAGCCAGGCAGGUCCUCCACGAUUGAACCCAGUUACCUUGGCAACUGGUCUGGCUACUCAGUCCUCCAUCCCUGCAGAACCCAAGGGAAGCUUUUCUAGCUGCAAUACAUUUGCCCAGGCCAGGCAACCACCUGCCUCCACCAUCCACCCUCCCAACACAUCCCAGCUCAGUGCAGUGCCAGCUGUCCCUGGGUCCUUGGCAGUGGCCUUGAAUCUGAUCUUAACCUCUUCCUAAACUUCAACAAACUCAGGUAGGAGUGUAAUUGCCUGUCAAUAAACAUGUUACAAGGAAAAGAAUGGGAGUUGUUGUAAAUGUGUCUAGUGUAUGGGAAGGGGUGGAGCCCGGCCCUGAAUAUGGGUGAGGUUGUCUACCAUGUGAAUAGAGUGCCUGCCCAACAACCUGGGUCAUCCUCCCCACGCUUGCCGGUCUUCUUCGCGUUUUCACUGCAGUCCUUGCUGCCCUCUGGUGGCUAGACCUUGCUUUGCACCUGCUGAAACUGACCGGGCAUUUAAGGAACUUGGGGGUUGGCAAUUUCCUCCACAAAAGUGAGGUUUACUUCACCUUUGCUGAGAACUUGAAAACUGGAAGUCUUCAGAGUGGAGUCAGGGACAAGAAGACUGGACGGACCCUCUGAAGAAACUUGUUCCCACCCCUCCCCAAUGCUGCUGCUGACAGGAUUCCAUUAGCUAUGAGCUUAACACACACACACACACGCUGAGAUCAUCAGUCAGGAGGACAGGAGACUGCUGCUCCUGCUGGCCUGGCUUGGGCAGGGCAUUCUGCCAACUGUCCUGACAGUAGUGAGGCGCCCCCACCCCCACCCCAGUGGCUGAUCAGGAUGAAGUGGGAGACGCUGCUUGGUGAGGAAACAGCACCCACUUCUUGUGCCCAGUCCCUCCAAAGUGCACAGAAAGGGCCCAGCUGAGAUCGAGGAGGCCUCUCACAUGCACACUCUAGGCCUUACAUAUGCUCAUACAUUGGGCCGCGCACGCGUGCACACAUACUUGCAUGUGCAUACACACUAGCCACACGCACACACGCGCGCCCCCUCCUGGAAGGAGCCGCGGCUCGCUCAUGUGGUCAGGGCCGCUCACCUGUGCAGCGUGGCGCAGUCGCCGGCGGAGGGCGCCGCGCACCCACCUGCAGCCGGAGAGGGGAGUAGGCGGGGCCCCGCGGCCCCCUGCCCCGGGCCGCCAGCACACUCAGGUUCUGCGGGUCACUCCAGGUGGGCAAUCAUGACUGCGACACCGGCCGGCCUCUUCCAGGGGGCAAUCGCAGCCACGUCCACCGCACGGGGAGGCACGCUAGCCACACAGCUGGUGGGCCAAGCCGGCGCCUCGAACCCGGGAGCUGGGGCACAGCCCACCAAUCAGGGAGCACUGGUCCAAGGUGGGCUGCCCGAUUGGCCAAUCACAGGGCCCCUACCAGGAGGCGGGGCCUGCCAAUCAGGGGCUCCUGGGGUUCCGCGGCGGAAACCACCGGGUCUGGCGCUGGGGGGGAGGGGGGGGGCGCGUGACGCGCUGGGAGAGUGGGGAGCCGGGCUUGGGGCUGAGCACCCCGAUUC